rnacentral:rRNA from 1 species
UUCGCCCUUAGAGUUUGAUCCUGGCUCAGGACGAACACUGGCGGCGUGCCUAACACAUGCAAGUCGAACGAAGCUUGAUUCUUGAUUUCUUCGGAAAGAUAGAUGAUAUGACUGAGUGGCGGACGGGUGAGUAACGCGUGAGCAACCUGCCCUUCGGAGGGGGAUAGUGUCUGGAAACGGACAGUAAUACCGCAUAAAAUAUAUUUGCCGCAUGACAGAUAUAUCAAAACUGAGGUGCCGAGGGAUGGGCUCGCGUUGGAUUAGAUAGUUGGUGGGGUAACGGCCUACCAAGUCAACGAUCCAUAGCCGGACUGAGAGGUUGAACGGCCACAUUGGGACUGAGACACGGCCCAGACUCCUACGGGAGGCAGCAGUGGGGAAUAUUGCACAAUGGGGGAAACCCUGAUGCAGCAACGCCGCGUGAAGGAAGACGGUUUUCGGAUUGUAAACUUCUGUUCUUAGUGAAGAAGAAUGACGGUAGCUAAGGAGCAAGCCACGGCUAACUACGUGCCAGCAGCCGCGGUAAUACGUAGGUGGCAAGCGUUGUCCGGAAUUACUGGGUGUAAAGGGAGCGCAGGCGGGAAGCCAAGUCAGCUGUGAAAACUACGGGCUUAACUUGUAGACUGCAGUUGAAACUGGUUUUCUUGAGUGAAGUAGAGGUUGGCGGAAUUCCGAGUGUAGCGGUGAAAUGCGUAGAUAUUCGGAGGAACACCGGUGGCGAAGGCGGCCAACUGGGCUUUAACUGACGCUGAGGCUCGAAAGUGUGGGGAGCAAACAGGAUUAGAUACCCUGGUAGUCCACACUGUAAACGAUGAUAACUANGGUGUGGGGGGGGUCUGACCCCCCUUCCCGUGCCGCAGCUAAACGCAAUAAGUUAAUCCACCUGGGGAGUACGACCGCAAGGGUGAAACGCAAAGGGAAUUGACGGGGACCCGCACAAGCAGUGGAUUAUGUGGUUUAAUUCGAAGCAACGCGAAGAACCUUACCAGCACUUGACAUCCAACUAACGAAAUAGAGAUAUAUUAGGUGACCUUCGGGGAAAGUUGAGACAGGUGGUGCAUGGUUGUCGUCAGCUCGUGUCGUGAGAUGUUGGGUUAAGUCCCGCAACGAGCGCAACCCCUGCCAUUAGUUGCUACGCAAGAGCACUCUAAUGGGACCGCUACCGACAAGGUGGAGGAAGGUGGGGACGACGUCAAAUCAUCAUGCCCCUUAUGUGCUGGGCUACACACGUAAUACAAUGGCCGUUAACAAAGGGAAGCAAUACCGCGAGGUGGAGCAAAACCCCAAAAACGGUCUCAGUUCGGACUGCAGGCUGCAACCCGCCUGCACGGAGUUGGAAUUGCUAGUAAUCGCGGAUCAGCAUGCCGCGGUGAAUACGAUCCCGGGUCUUGCACACACCGCCCGUCA